GAUGAAGUAACCGAUGCUACGCUUCCAGGAAAAGCCUCUAAGCNCAAGGUAACAUCAAAUCGUACCCCAAACCGACACAGGUGGUCAGGUAGAGAAUACUCAGGCGCUUGAGAGAACUCGGGUGAAGGAACUAGGCAAAAUGGUGCCGUAACUUCGGGAGAAGGCACGCUGAUGGUAAGUGAAGUGACUUGCUCAUGGAGCUGAAAUCAGUCGAAGAUACCAGCUGGCUGCAACUGUUUAAUAAAAACACAGCACUGUGCAAACACGAAAGUGGACGUAUACGGUGUGACGCCUGCCCGGUGCCGGAAGGUUAAUUGAUGGGGUCAGCCGCAAGGCGAAGCUCUUGAUCGAAGCCCCGGUAAACGGCGGCCGUAACUAUAACGGUCCUAAGGUAGCGAAAUUCCUGUCGGGUAAGUUCCGACCUGCACGAAUGGCGUAAUGAUGGGCCAGGCUGUCUCCACCCGAGACUCAGUGAAAUUGAACUCGCUGUGAAGAUGCAGUGUACCCGCGGCAAGACGGAAAGACCCCGUGAACCUUUACUAUAGCUUGACACUGAACCUUGAGCCUUGAUGUGUAGGAUAGGUGGGAGGCUUUGAAGUGUGGACGCCAGUCUGCAUGGAGCCAACCUUGAAAUACCACCCUUUAAUGUUUGAUGUUCUAACGUGGACCCGUAAUCCGGGUUGCGGACAGUGUCUGGUGGGUAGUUUGACUGGGGCGGUCUCCUCCCAAAGCGUAACGGAGGAGCACGAAGGUUAGCUAAUCCUGGUCGGACAUCAGGAGGUUAGUGCAAAGGCAUAAGCUAGCUUGACUGCGAGAGUGACAGCUCGAGCAGGUGCGAAAGCAGGUCUUAGUGAUCCGGUGGUUCUGAAUGGAAGGGCCAUCGCUCAACGGAUAAAAGGUACUCCGGGGAUAACAGGCUGAUACCGCCCAAGAGUUCAUAUCGACGGCGGUGUUUGGCACCUCGAUGUCGGCUCAUCACAUCCUGGGGCUGAAGUAGGUCCCAAGGGUAUGGCUGUUCGCCAUUUAAAGUGGUACGCGAGCUGGGUUUAGAACGUCGUGAGACAGUUCGGUCCCUAUCUGCCGUGGGCGUUGGAAGAUUGAGAGGGGUUGCUCCUAGUACGAGAGGACCGGAGUGAACGCACCACUGGUGUACGGGUUGUGAUGCCAAUUGCAUUGCCCGGUAGCUAAGUGCGGAAGAGAUAACCGCUGAAAGCAUCUAAGCGGGAAACUUGCCUCGAGAUGAGUCUUCCCUGGGCACUUGAUGCCCCUGAAGGGCCGUUGAAGACGACGACGUAGAUAGGCUGGGUGUGUAAGCGUAGCGAUACGUUGAGCUAACCAGUACUAAUGACCCGAGAGGCUUAACCUUACAACACC
rnacentral:rRNA from 2 species